CCUACGGGAGGCAGCAGUGAGGAAUAUUGGUCAAUGGGCGCAAGCCUGAACCAGCCAAGUCGCGUGAGGGAUGACGGUCCUAUGGAUUUUAAACCUCUUUUGUCGGGGAGCAAGGCCCGCCACGUGUGUCGGGAAGGAGAGUACCCUAAGAAAAAGCAUCGGCUAAUUCCGUGCAAGCAGCCGCGGUAAUACGGAGGAUGCGAGCGUUAUCCGGAUUUAUUGGGUUAAAGGGGUGCGUAGGCGGAAGGUUAAGUCAGCGGUAAAAUGUCGGUGCUAAACACGGGUCUGCCGUUGAAACUGGUCUUCUUGAGUGAGGGAGAAGUAAGCGGAAUGCGGGGUGUAGCGGUGAAAUGCAUAGAUAUCACGAAGAACACCGAUUGCGAAGGCAGCAUACCGGAGCUUAACUGACGCUGAAGCACGAAAGCGUGGGUAGCGAACAGGAUUAGAUACCCGAGUAGUC
rnacentral:rRNA from 1 species